GUGUUUGUAGUCCAACAGGUUAGGAUAAUUGCCUUCCAAGCAAUAGACCCGGGUUCAACUCCCGGCAAACGCA
rnacentral:tRNA from 1 species